UACAGAGGUGCCAAGCGUUGUUCGGAUUUAUUGGGCGUAAAGGGUGCGUAGGCGGUGAUGCAAGUCGGGUGUGAAAUACCGGAGCCUAACUCCGAAACUGCAUUCGAUACUGCCGUGCUUGAGGACUGGAGAGGAGACUGGAAUUUACGGUGUAGCGGUGAAAUGCGUAGAUAUCGUAAGGAAGACCAGUGGCGAAGGCGGGUCUCUGGACAGUUCCUGACGCUGAGGCACGAAGGUCAGGGGAGCAAACGGG
rnacentral:rRNA from 1 species